rnacentral:rRNA from 1 species
UAGUAGCUAGAGGAAAAGAAAUCUAUUCCGUUAGUAGUGACGAGCGAAUGCGGACCAGGCCAGUAGCAAUAAUUUAAUAACUAGAACUUUCUGGAAAGUCAGACCAAAGUGGGUGAUAGUCCCGUACAGGUAAAAAGUAUUAUUGUUCUCGAGUAGGGCGGAACACGUGAAAUUUUGUCUGAAUAUGGGGAGACCACUUCCCAAGCCUAAAUACUCCUUGAUGACCGAUAGUGAACAAGUACCGUGAGGGAAAGGUGAAAAGCACCCCGAUAGGGGGAAUGAAAUAGUAUCUGAAACCGAAUGCCUACAAGCAGUCAGAGCUUCCUUGUGAAGUGAUGGCAUACCUUUUGUAUAAUGGGUCAGCGACUUAGUCUGUGCAGCAAGCUUAAGCCGUCAGGUGUAGGCGUAGGGAAACCAAGUCUUAAUAGGGCAUUAGUUGUACGGAUUAGACUCGAAGCGGGAUGAGCUUAAUAUGAGCAGGUUGAAGAUGUAGUAACAUACAUCGGAGGACCGAACCAUUAGACGUUGCAAUGUCUUUGGAUGACUUGUGUUAAGGGGUGAAAGGCCAACCAAAUUCGUAGAUAGCUGGUUUUCCGCGAAAACUAUUUAGGUAGUGCGUUGAAUAAACAUGCUUUUGGAGGUAGAGCACUAAAUGGGCUAGGGGGGAGAAAUCCUUACCAAACCUAAUAAAACUCCGAAUGCCAAAAGUAAUUCCUCAACAGACAGACUGUGGGUGCUAAGGUCCAUGGUCGAGAGGGGAACAGCCCAGAUCACCAGAUAAGGUCCCUAAAUUAUGAUUAAGUGUGAAAGGAUGUGGAAAUUCCUAAACAGCCGGGAGGUUGGCUUAGAAGCAGCCAUCCUUUAAAGAUAGCGUAACAGCUCACCGGUCUAAUAGAGUUUCUGCGCCUAAGAUGUAACGGGGCUCAAAUCAUAUACCGAAUCUGUGGGUGCAUAAAGUUUUCGAAUUUUAUGCGCGGUAGCGGAACGUUCUGUAAGCCUGUAAAGGAAUACCCGUGAGGGAUUCUGGAGGUAUCAGAAGUGCGAAUGCUGACAUAAGUAACGAUAAACGAAGUGAAAAACUUCGUCGCCGAAAAUCUAAGGGUUUCUGCGCAAGGUUAAUCCGCGCAGAGUUAGUCGGCACCUAAGGCGAGGGCGAAAGCCGUAGUCGAUGGAAAUAAGGUUAAUAUUCCUUAACCAGAUGGAAGUGACGGAUCUUGUAAGUUGUGAGUUCUUAAUGGAUUGAACUUGCUGCGAAAAGGUCCCAGGAAAUAGCUCCAUCAUUAGACCGUACCCUAAACCGACACAGGUAGAUUAAUAGAGUAUAUUUAGGCGCUUGAGAGAAUGAUGUUGAAGGAACUCGGCAAAAUGCUUCUGUAACUUCGGAAUAAAGAAGACCUU